UACGUAGGGUGCGAGCGUUACUCGGAAUUACUGGGCGUAAAGCGUGCGCAGGCGGUUUUUCAAGCCCGCUUUGAAAUCCCCGGGCUUAACCUGGGAAUGGCAUUUGGGACUGCAAGGCUGGAGUGCGGCAGAGGAGACUGGAAUUCCUGGUGUAGCAGUGAAAUGCGUAGAUAUCAGGAGGAACACCGAUGGCGAAGGCAGGUCUCUGGGCUGACACUGACGCUCAUGCACGAAAGCGUGGGGAGCAAACAGG
rnacentral:rRNA from 1 species